rnacentral:tRNA from 1 species
GGGCCCGUAGCUCAGAUGGCAGAGCACCGGGCUUUUAACCCGGGGGUCGCGGGUUCGAAUCCCGCCGGGCCCG